CCCUUAGACGUUCUGGGCUGCACGCGCGCGACACUGAUGCGCUCAAGGAGUUUACGACCUUGCCUGGAAAGGUUGGGUAAUCUUCUUAAAAAACAUCGUGAUGGAGCUAGAUUAUUGCAACUAUUAAUCUUCAACGAGGAAUUCCUAGUAAGCGCGAGUCAUCAGCUCGUGCUGAUUACGUCCCUGCCCUUUGUACACACCGCCCGUCGCUCCUACCGAUUGCGUGCUACUGAAUAAUUCGGACUGCAGCAACGUUCGGUUCCUGAAUGUCGCAGUGGAAAGUUUAGUGAACCUUAUCACUUAGAGAAAAAAAAAGUCGUAACA
rnacentral:rRNA from 1 species